CGAUGCGUCCUGGUCGGAU
rnacentral:snRNA from 1 species